AAGAAUUGGCUCUGAGGGUGUGGUUGUUUGGCGGUUGGGGUGUGUUUGUGUGGGACGGCCUACAUGUGUUGAGUAAUCGAUGCGUGGUCGGGCUGACCUGCCUUAUGUGCGCUAACCAUUCACCAGGCAACGGUUAAACACCGACUCAGAACUGGAGCGAUCAAGGGGAAUCCGACUGUUUAAUUAAAACAAAGUGUUGUGAUGGCCUCAGCAGGUGUUGACACAACUUGAUUUCUGCCCAGUGCUCUGAAUGUCAAACUGGAGAUAAUAUGAGAAGCACAAAUUCAAGCAAGCGCGGGUAAACGGCGGGAGUAACUAUGAC
rnacentral:rRNA from 1 species